UGUGUGUCACUUUUCAUUCUUCUCAAGCAAAUUAUUAAAAUGUGAACAUUUGGAGUUAAAAGACACAAUGAGUGAAGAAAAUUGUCACCGACAGAGCAUAUGGUAUUUGGUGUAACAUUAUGCAGAAGCCAGAGAGAGCUAUGAACCAUGUUUCUCUUUCCCAUGUCCACGGAAAUGCCAAAGUACACUGGAGCUAUCGAGGAUGUUGACUUUUUCCCGUAAAUGUUUAACUUCUUCUGGAAACCACAGAAACUUAAGUGAUUUAGAGUGUGACUUUCAUGAACAGAAAUAGUCUCCAUAAUCUAAUCUCCAGAAUGCACUAAACCAGGAGAAGAUCCACCUGGAUAAUUUCGUUGUCAAAGGAAUGGAAGAAUAUUAAGGAGAACAAGUCCUCAUCUCUCCAAAGACCCUUCAUCCUUCAUUUCACAAUAGUCUUUAUUGGUCUGCUGGAGUUUGCUGGAGGUCCACUCCAGACCCUGUUUGCCUGGGUAUCACCGGCAGAGGCUGCAGAGCAGCAAAGAUUGCUGCCUGCUCCUUCCUCUGGAAGCUUCAUCCCAAAGGGGCACCCGCCUGAUGCCAGCCAGAGCUCUCCUGUACGAGAGAUGCCCUGCCCAGUGAGGAGGAAUCUAGAGAAGCAGUCUGGCCAUAGCUUUGCUGCACUGCGGUGAGUUCCACCCAGUACAAACUUCCUGGCAGCUUCCUUAACACUGGGAGGGGAAAACCGCCUACUCAAGCCUCAGUAAUCUUUUGUAUUAUUCUUAAGAACAAUUUAAAAAACUACUACUCAUAUUUGUUUAGUGCUUUUCCGUUUAUACAACAUUUUCCAUCCAUUUUCUUGUUUGGUACUUACAACAAUCCUGUGAGAUAAGUAAGAUGAGUAUUCUUUUCUAACUUUUAAUUAAGAAAAAUUUCCAACCGAUAGAAAAGUAGAUAGAAUGGUGUUAUUCAUCUCCUGAAACUUACAAUAUGAACAAAUCACUAUUCAUCUGUCUUUUUUAAAAACUGAAGUAUCUUAGUAAAUUGCAAGCAACAUGUCA
rnacentral:lncRNA from 1 species